AAGAGAGGCCCGACAGCAAUGAAGACUGCUAAUCUUCCCUCCCUUGGUUUGACUCCAAGGCUCACUUG
rnacentral:tRNA from 1 species